rnacentral:rRNA from 1 species
ACAGACCUUCGGGUCUGUGGUGAGUGGCGAACGGGUGAGUAACACGUGAGCAACCUGCCCUUGACACUGGAAUAACAGUUGGAAACAGCUGCUAAUACCGGAUACGACCUUCGAUGGCAUCAUCUGGAGGUGGAAAGCUCCGACGGUCAAGGAUGGGCUCGCGGCCUAUCAGCUUGUUGGUGAGGUAACGGCUCACCAAGGCUUCGACGGGUAGCCGGCCUGAGAGGGCGACCGGCCACACUGGGACUGAGAUACGGCCCAGACUCCUACGGGAGGCAGCAGUGGGGAAUAUUGCACAAUGGGCGAAAGCCUGAUGCAGCAACGCCGCGUGCGGGAUGACGGCCUUCGGG